rnacentral:tRNA from 1 species
GCCGCGUUAGCUCAGUUGGUAGAGCAACCGCCUUGUAAGCGGUAGGUCGAGGGUUCAAGUCCUUCACGCGGCACCA